rnacentral:tRNA from 1 species
GGUCGAGUAGCUCAACUGGAUAGAGCAACAGCCUUCUAAGCUGUGGGUUGCGGGUUCGAGUCCCGCCUCGAUCA